GCAUUGAAGCUUAAUAAACAUAAUGGAAUCUUCCUCUAUCUUCUCCUUUUCAUCCCACCAUGACUCCACAACUGUACUAGCUCUUACGUCACCAAGAGCUUUGCUGACGACAUGACUUCCAAUUGGGCAUGAUUUUGCAAAAUUGUCCGGAUUCUUGAACUUUGGUGGAGGAGGCACAUGGGAUACUAAUGAAAUUGGCUUAUCUUCAUUGGUACUCAAAGUUAGAUCUUUGUCGAUCUCUUUUUCUUGGUCCCCAAGUCUUUCCUCUCUUUCAACAUCUAUAUCAUUUGGCACAUCCGGUUGCAGAUUUGGUUCGGGCUCACCAUCA
rnacentral:lncRNA from 1 species